rnacentral:rRNA from 1 species
UUCCAGCUCCAAUAGCGUAUAUUAAAGUUGUUGCAGUUAAAAAGCUCGUAGUUGGAUUUGUGGUGGAUUGUCGAGUCCUCUUUUGGUACUUGUACGAUCUGCCAUCCUUGGGUGGAACCUGUGUGGCAUUAGGUUGUCGUGCAGGGGAUGCUCAUCAUUUACUGUGAAAAAAUCAGCGCGUUCAAAGCAGGCUUAUGCCGUUGAAUGUAUUAGCAUGGAAUAAUAAGAUAGGACCUUGGUACUAUUUUGUUGGUUUGUGCACCGAGGUAAUGAUUAAUAGGGACAGUUGGGGGUAUUCGUAUUCCAUUGUCAGAGGUGAAAUUCUUGGAUUUCUGGAAGACGAACUACUGCGAAAGCAUUUACCAAGGAUGUUUUC